rnacentral:rRNA from 1 species
AUUGGGUAGGGGAGCGUUCUGUAAGCGGUUGAAGGUGUGUGGUAACGCAUGCUGGACGUAUCAGAAGUGCGAAUGCUGACAUGAGUAACGAUAAAGGGGGUGAAAAACCUCCUCGCCGGAAGACCAAGGGUUCCUGUCCAACGUUAAUCGGGGCAGGGUAAGUCGACCCCUAAGGCGAGGCCGAAAGGCGUAGUCGAUGGGAAACGGGUUAAUAUUCCCGUACUUCUUACAAUUGCGAUGGGGGGACGGAGAAGGCUAGGUGGGCCUGGCGACGGUUGUCCAGGUUCAAGUGCGUAGGC